CGGAUACUGAUUUACAGAAAUAGUAUUAACUUAAAUUGUGUGUGCAUGUCAGCAGAAUGUGUAGUCUGGAUGAGCUUCCAUUUAAAGUUGCUCUGGACUCUGGAGUUGGGUCAGAAAGAGCCAGUCACAGCUCCUGAAUUUAAGAUCCCAGACUGUGUUCAAAUACUGCGUGAUACAAAGUAUUCAUUCACUGUGGAGAAAAAGAUCAUGGCUGAGUGGGAAGAACAGCAGUGGAAGAACAGGAAAGCCAAAAAAAUGCCCCAGAGUGUGUGUUCCACCUGCCCGCCGUAUUGGCUGAUGUUCAGCAGCCCACAGCAGAGCCGCAGGGUGCACCUCAGAAGUGCAGAAUUAUGGGAACUGGGCCCACGCCCCCGCAGUUUAAGCCUCAGUGCUGCUGACUCGCGGUGUAUGUCCGCGGACGUCCGCAGGACUACAGGAUGCUUCAGCAGAUCUUCUGUGCGCUUUGAGUCAGGAAGAAAGGGAUCUUCUUGAAGCUGUUACACAACAUGGAUACACACUGCACACUGCCAUAGUAGCACUGCAGAGGACAGGACCCAAGAGUCCAGAUCAGGUAACACACACACACUACAUGCAAACAGACAUAUAAAUAUACACAUUCUCUCUCUCCU
rnacentral:lncRNA from 1 species